CCUACGGGGGGCAGCAGUGAGGAAUAUUGGUCAAUGGGCGGAAGCCUGAACCAGUCAAGUCGCGUGAGGGAAGAAGGCCCUGCGGGUCGCAGACCUCUUUGGACGGGGAGCAAGGCCGCCAACGUGUCGGCGGAAGGAGAGUACCCGUAGAACAAGCAUCGGCUAACUCCGUGCCAGCAGCCGCGGUAAUACGGAGGAUGCGAGCGUUAUCCGGAUUUAUUGGGUUUAAAGGGUGCGUAGGCGGGCUGUUAAGUCAGCGGUCAAAUGUCGGGGCUCAACCCCGGCCUGCCGUUGAAACUGGCGGG
rnacentral:rRNA from 1 species